rnacentral:misc_RNA from 1 species
UAGAGAGAGAAAGAAAGAAAGAAAAUGAUUAACACUAAUGACAACUAAAACUAUCCACCAACAAGCUUAUUUAGUUAAUACAUUCUAAUUCACAAUAAAAAGUUUAAUCUUUGUCUUAAUUUUAGCAUAGCAAUUUUUUUAGGUUACUAAAAUGCAGCAAAAACACAUUCCAAAGUUGACCCUGUGUGUCUACUGUGAAUCUGACACAGAAAAAAGUGUGCGACACUUGCUAAUUGUCUGAUGUGUUGGAGUCUUAGGCCUGCCUUGUGAAAUUUGUAAGGAAAGCCUCAAUAUGCAAUAACAGAGAAAAGUAGCAUACAGAGCAGUGGCAGCAGUAAAGAGUAGGUCUCCUUCAAAAUAAUUAACAAAUGAUGCCACCAAAGCUGGGACUUGCUAGGACCAAAGCCAUUCAUUAGCCUCAGGAUGCUUGGCAGAUAGUUUUUCCCUGAUUAAACUCUACAAUGGAGCUGAUUGUCGCAGUAAACUGCAUGAGAUAAAUUGUUAAAACAGGUAUGAAAGUAAUACAGAGAUAUUUGUAUAAAAAUCACAUCAACAACAUUAAUGGGAAGAGACAACCAUACAACCAAAGAUUUUGAAAAUGUAAAUGUAAAUGUCAGAUAGAACCUACAUUUAAACUGGACAAAAGUAGAUAAUUGCAAAAGUGAAAGUCAUAGUUAGUAAAGGCGCAACAAGCUCCA